GAUGAACGCUGGCGGCGUGCCUAAUACAUGCAAGUCGAGCGAAUGGAUUAAGAGCUUGCUCUUAUGAAGUUAGCGGCGGACGGGUGAGUAACACGUGAGUAACCUGCCCAUAAGACUGGGAUAACUCCGGGAAACCUGGGCUAAUACCGGAUAACAUUUUGAACCGCAUGGUUCGAAAUUGAAAGGCGGCUUUGGCUGUCACUUAUGGAUGGACCCGCGUCGCAUUAGCUAGUUGGUGAGGUAACGGCUAACCAAGGCAACGACGCGUAGCCGACCUGAGAGGGUGAUCGGCCACACUGGGACUGAGACACGGCCCAGACUCCUACGGGAGGCAGCAGUAGGGAAUCUUCCGCAAUGGACGAAAGUCUGACGGGGCAGCGCCGCGUGAGUGAUGAAGGCUUUCGGGUCGUAAAACUCUGUUGUUAGGGAAGAACAAGUGCUAGUUGAAUAAGCUGGCACCUUGACGGUACCUAACCAGAAAGCCACGGCUAACUACGUGCCAGCCGCCGCCGUAA
rnacentral:rRNA from 1 species